CGGCCGGGCGAUAUUUCGUGCCACGAUGCCCCUAAAACUCUUCCACACGUACUCCAGACUGCUGCGCUUCGACGACCGCGAGACGAGACGCACGAGACGACCCACGGACAAAUUGGUGGCCGUUCGAGAGGUCUGGGACGCGUGGGUGGCGCGGCUACUGCGCCUCUACAACCCGGGGCCCGAAGUGACCGUGGACGAGCAACUGGUUCCGUUCAGAGGAGCUGCCAGAUAUGUCCCUCGUCAUUAAGGGGAGUCAUGAAACCACCCAGUCUGUUGGAAACAUCUGAGGGUGGUCAGCACUUUGAAAGGACACACAGUUAUGUCCACACACACUUCAAGAAAAAGACUUCAAGUACAAAUGGAAUUGGGGAAGGACCAAAUAAAAACUGGUGAAGCGAAGUCCCUGCAGCAGACCCUAAAUGACAAACAGACAGAUAGAGGGAUGGAUGGAUGGACAGAGAGAACAUAGGAACACAGAACGUUCUAAAGGAAGGAUGAUGUAUCUUGCCCAAAGACACCUCGGCAUGCAGAUGGGGAAGACUGGGAUCGAACCGAUGACCUGGUUAGAGAAUGACCGCCGGUCAUGCCAAUCGGCUUGCUGCUCCCUCACUGCAAGCUAACCACUCAAC